GCAGAUGUAGCUUAGUAGUAGAGUGCUCACCUACCAGGUGCAAGGCUCUGGGUUCGAUUCCCAGCAUGCC
rnacentral:tRNA from 1 species